AGCGAACGCUGGCGGCAGGCCUAACACAUGCAAGUCGAACGAACCUUUCGGGGUUAGUGGCGGACGGGUGAGUAACACGUGGGAACGUGCCUUUAGGUUCGGAAUAACUCAGGGAAACUUGUGCUAAUACCGCAUGUGCCCUUCGGGGGAAAGAUUAAUCGCCUUUAGAGCGGCCCGCGUCUGAUUAGCUAGUUGGUUGAGGUAAUGGCUCACCAAGGCGACGAUCAGUAGCUGGUCUGAGAGGAUGAUCAGCCACAUUGGGACUGAGACACGGCCCAAACUCCGACGGGAGGCAGCAGUGGGGAAUCUUGCGGAAUGGGCGAAAGCCUGACGAAGCCAUGCGGCGGGAAUGAGGAAGGUGUUAGGAGUGUAAAAUUCUUUCAGCGGGGACGAUAAUGACGGUACCGGGAGAAGAAGCCCCGGCUAACUUCGUG
rnacentral:rRNA from 1 species